rnacentral:rRNA from 1 species
CCUACGGGUCAGCAGCAGUGGGGAAUAUUGGACAAUGGGCGAAAGCCUGAUCCAGCCAUGCCGCGUGUGUGAAGAAGGCCUUCGGGUUGUAAAGCACUUUCAGUGGGGAAGAAAGCCUUGGGGCUAAUACCCUCGAGGAAGGACAUCACCCACAGAAGAAGCACCGGCUAACUCCGUGCCAGCAGCCGCGGUAAUACGGAGGGUGCGAGCGUUAAUCGGAAUUACUGGGCGUAAAGCGCGCGUAGGCGGUCUGAUAAGCCGGUUGUGAAAGCCCCGGGCUCAACCUGGGAACGGCAUCCGGAACUGUCAGGCUAGAGUGCAGGAGAGGAAGGUAGAAUUCCCGGUGUAGCGGUGAAAUGCGUAGAGAUCGGGAGGAAUACCAGUGGCGAAGGCGGCCUUCUGGACUGACACUGACGCUGAGGUGCGAAAGCGUGGGUAGCAAACAGGAUUAGAUACCCCUGUAGUC